AUCUCAGAUAAACCAUAUAUUAUAUGAGAUUCUUUGUGUGUGUGUGUGUGUGUGUGUGUGUGGGUGGGUGUGUUUAUGUUGAGAGGAAGUUUUGGUGAGUGGUCUGGCUUCAAUAGGUCAUGCAUCAUUUUAUGUGUUUGGUCAUGUAAGUACUAGCUUUUAAAGAUUCCUUCUCUGAUUGAAGGCAAGAAGACCAAGGAAGAAUAUGUAAUGACAAACAGUUAAAAUUACAUGAUUGGAAUAAAACGAAAGGUUUGUAUUAUCAUUUUAUAAACAAUAUGUCCAAGUUUUUUUUUUUUACACGGCAGGAUCAUUCGCCACCACUUAGGUUUGAAUCCGAGACCUCUAAUUUGAAGAGGAGGCCUGCCAACCAGUUG
rnacentral:lncRNA from 1 species